GACGAACGCUGGCGGCGUGCUUAACACAUGCAAGUCGAACGGGAACCUUUAUUUCGGUAAAGGUGAGAGUGGCAAACGGGUGAGUAACACGUAGGCAACCUGCCGACAGGAUGGGGACAACAUUCCGAAAGGAAUGCUAAUACCGAAUGAAGUCACCGGAGGGCAUCCUCUGGUGAUGAAAGAUGGCCUUUGAAUAUGCUAUCACCUGUCGAUGGGCCUGCGUCUGAUUAGCCAGUUGGCGGGGUAACGGCCCACCAAAGCGACGAUCAGUAGCCGGUCUGAGAGGAUGAACGGCCACAUUGGGACUGAGACACGGCCCAGACUCCUACGGGAGGCAGCAGUGGGGAAUCUUCCACAAUGGGCGAAAGCCUGAUGGAGCAACGCCGCGUGAGUGAAGAAGGUCUUCGGAUCGUAA
rnacentral:rRNA from 1 species